CUCCGGUUCCGAUUUGCAAUAUGAUCAGAUUUGUAAUCUGUUCAUUUUUAAAGAAGAGACCGAUCUAAAUAUGUCUGUAUAAAUAUAUCCACAAGCGAUAUGAAAAAAACAAUAAGGAACUACUGGAUUACAAAAUGUAUUCUGAAAUAUAUCGUCAUCAAUGUUAUCGCCACAGGUUCAGCUUCAUCGAAUCGUCCACUUAAGUUUACGUCAGAUCAGAGUCUCCCGUUGUAUAAUAAUUAUGAUACAGUUAUAUCUGAACAAGAAAAU